AAUUUUCCGUUAUACUAUUGACA
rnacentral:snRNA from 1 species